CACCACUCCUCUCCAAGUCUUCUUACAUCCUUCUGUCUGUCGAGUAAAAAGGCCUGACACAGACCAGUUAGUAGACUGCUGUGAAUUUUUAACUGUGCUGUAAAUUUUUACCUGAACUCUUCGUUGUUUAUAAAUAUGGAUUUGACAUCCACGGAAGACCACCUUGCUGCUUCAAUGACUCCACAGCCUGUUGACAAUUAUAACUUGCUCAACUGGUUUGCAGCCUUAAUUCUUAUCGCCACAUCAUUUAUAGUGUGUUAUAUAUGUCGUGAUGCAUACUUCCUACUUCGCGGACGGAAGGCCAUAUAAGACCUAUGUUUGCGAAGUCCUAUCAAGGACUGUUCUUCUGCUGGUCCUGCGUCAAAUCCGUCUUAAUAGCUUCUGUAAAAUCACUUUCUUGACCUGGAGGUUUUAUACAUAAACGCAGUCUUAACCUAAUUUGGCAUCUAAGUAGUUAAUGUCCGUUUGUCAUGUCAAGCAGUUAACUUUGAAUAACCCAGUUCUUAAUUUCAUAAUUUUGGAUAACCAUUCAAUAUUUGUUUGGAAGAGCUUUUUUAAAGCAAAGUUUUUACGGUUUGGGUCAUUAGCUAGGUACAAUGUCUUUCUUAGCAGUUGUCAUGUCUAGCAGUUGAUAACUUAGAAUAAUGCAGUUUUUUAUUUCAUAAUUUUGGGAAAAAUAUUCUAUUACUUUGGUUAAGGUUUUUUUGUGUAAAGUUUUUACUGUUUG